AGGUAACUUUGUCUCCAGGUAAUCCACAUUGCCUGUCACAGCUGUACUUUUUGUAUGGGGAGCUACAGCUGUUGAAGCUAUUGUGGAUUACCUGGAGACAAAGUUACCUGUGACAGGUAAGAUUUUCGACCCUUUUUUGUCAGUUUUUGAUUGUGAGAUU